rnacentral:rRNA from 1 species
UGGGGAAUAUUGCACAAUGGGCGCAAGCCUGAUGCAGCCAUGCCGCGUGUAUGAAGAAGGCCUUCGGGUUGUAAAGUACUUUCAGUCGGGAGGAAGGUGGUAAGGUUAAUAACCUUGUCGAUUGACGUUACCCGCAGAAGAAGCACCGGCUAACUCCGUGCCAGCAGCCGCGGUAAUACGGAGGGUGCAAGCGUUAAUCGGAAUUACUGGGCGUAAAGCGCACGCAGGCGGUCUGUCAAGUCGGAUGUGAAAUCCCCGGGCUCAACCUGGGAAGUGCAUUCGAAACUGGCAGGCUAGAGUCUUGUAGAGGGGGGUAGAAUUCCAGGUGUAGCGGUGAAAUGCGUAGAGAUCUGGAGGAAUACCGGUGGCGAAGGCGGACCCCUGGACAAAGACUGACGCUAAGGUGCGAAAGCGGGGGGAGCAAACAGG